UUCCGGUUGAUCCUGCCGGACCCGACUGCUAUCAGAGUGGGACUAAGCCAUGCGAGUCAACAUAGCAAUAUGUGGCAUACGGCUCAGUAACACGUAGUCAACAUGCCCAGGGGACGUGGAUAACCUCGGGAAACUGAGGAUAAACCGCGAUAGGUCAUCACUUCUGGAAUGGGUAAUGACUUAAAUCUAUAUGGCCCCUGGAUUGGACUGCGGCCGAUCAGGCUGUUGGUGAGGUAAUGGCCCACCAAACCUGUAACCGGUACGGGCUCUGAGAGGAGGAGCCCGGAGAUGGGCACUGAGACAAGGGCCCAGGCCCUAUGGGGCGCAGCAGGCGCGAAACCUCUGCAAUAGGCGAAAGCUUGACAGGGUUACUCUGAGUGAUUUCCGUUAAGGAGAUCUUUUGGCACCUCUAAAAAUGGUGCAGAAUAAGGGGUGGGCAAGUCUGGUGUCAGCCGCCGCGGUAAUACCAGCACCCCGAGUGGUCGGGACGUUUAUUGGGCCUAAAGCAUCCGUAGCCGGUUCUACAAGUCUUCCGUUAAAUCCACCUGCUUAACAGAUGGGCUGCGGAAGAUACUAUAGAGCUAGGAGGCGGGAGAGGCAAGCGGUACUCGAUGGGUAGGGGUAAAAUCCGUUGAUCCAUUGAAGACCACCAGUGGCGAAGGCGGCUUGCCAGAACGCGCUCGACGGUGAGGGAUGAAAGCUGGGGGAGCAAACCGGAUUAGAUACCCGGGUAGUCCCAGCUGUAAACGAUGCAGACUCGGUGAUGAGUUGGCUUAUUGCUAACUCAGUGCCGCAGGGAAGCCGUUAAGUUUGCAGCCUGGGGAGUACGGUCGCAAGACUGAAACUAAAGCUUAUAGGGGGGGGAGCA
rnacentral:rRNA from 1 species